rnacentral:rRNA from 1 species
AUUGAACGCUGGCGGCAGGCUUAACACAUGCAAGUCGAGCGAGCGGCGGACGGGUGAGUAAUGUCUGGGAAACUGCCUGAUGGAGGGGGAUAACUACUGGAACCGGUAGCUAAUACCGCAUACCAUCAGAUGUGCCCAGGGGGGAUUAGCUAGUAGGGGGGGUAAUGGCUCACCUAGGCGACGAUCCCUAGCUGGACUGAGAGGAGGACCAGCCACACUGGAACUGAGACACGGUCCAGACUCCUACGGGAGGCAGCAGUGGGGAAGAGUGCACAAUGGGCGCGAGCCUGAUGCAGCAAUGCAGCGGGUGUGAAGGAGGCCUUCGGGUUGUAAAGAACUUUCAGCGAGGAGGCGGUACUCGCAGAAGAAGCACCGGCUAACUCCGUGCCAGCAGCCGCGGUAAUAC